rnacentral:snRNA from 1 species
GUGCUCGCUUUGGCAGCACAUACACUAACACUGAAAUGAUAUAAAGAAGAUUAGCAUGGCCCCUACUCAAGGAUGACACACAAAUUUGUGAAGCAUUCCAUAUUAAA